rnacentral:lncRNA from 1 species
UUUGUAUUUGCCUCAUCCUGGUUUCCUUUAAACGUGCCAGGUUCAACCACCCUGAACUUGUUGGGAUGGCUUUUAGGGGCCCAAUGGUGGAAUACUUCCAUAUGAAAUUCUACCUUAUUAGACUUGGCACAUUGUUUCACUCUUUAGAAAUAUUUUUAGACCCCGGUUCUAGCAUCUUCGUGCACAAGUUAUUGCUCUCAUCUUUGUCAUCAACAGAUUUCUUCAGGAUAUCAGUUGUAACAAUAUUGUACUGAGUAAGGCUCCAGCUAGAGUCCUGUGGCGAGUCAAUAGAGACCUCCAUCGAAGUUGAAAUGGAUCCAUUACCAAGACUUUUAGGCAGUGAUUGUUCAACCAGCUGCAAAUCAGUCUAAUUUACCCCACAUCUACCCUACGCCUCUACAGGCCAGUGUAAAAGAUUUUUGCCUAACGUCAUACUGAAAUUCACACGUGUUGCCUUGACCUUCCAGCGCAACCACAUUGUCAAAGAAAUGGAGGUCUGCUCACACCUCACAGUUCACAUUUUCUUUGGCCCCUCUCUGUUACCAACGCUGGACUUUUCCUGCUGGCCUGAGGCUCCUCUUACAUCAGACACCGGCCACCCCUAGAACUUGCUUCCUCAUUUUUUGCUGUAACUGACUGUACGACACAGUGUUGGCUCCCUAAACGCAUUGGACAUACACCUGAAUGGCUGCGCGUCAGUGGCGGUGCUUUGAGUCCUGUUUCAGGUAUGCGGUGAACUGCUCGCUUGCUCACUCAGUGAAGUUACUGAUCGCUCCCUCCAAAAGUCCAGUUCUGCCAAGACGUAAAACCCUUUUGUAACACAAGUAUAAUACUUUCGAAUGUAGAUUUUGUUUACCUGUACUGAAUUUUCUCAAAAUGAACCAUACCUUUAAACACGAUAAUGACAGGCUAGGGCUGCUGUAACUUGAAUCAUCAGUGAAUACAAUACCUGGCACAUGGUGUGCUCCUGCCGGGAAAUUCUUUAACCUCAACUCUUCAGACUUAGGAAAAUAAGUAGUAUUUUCUUUAAAUUGGUAGUUUAUGUGAGGAUAAACAAAAGCAGUUUCCAUCUGGUUUGACGUUGACCCGGGAUUAUUUUCAAGUCAUCCUUGUUCCUCCUUUGCAAACGAAAUCACAGUCUCCAGGAGGAUGCAGCCAGUUAGUCUCGCCCGUCGCUGUCUUCAGAGUCAGCACGGUACCUGGACUCUGUAGAACACGUGCUCAGUGAACAUUUCUUGAACAGAUAAAUGAGGAAUAAAUGAAUACAUGUGUACAAAAAGCUUACUUCAUCUAGUCAUAAAAUGAUUUCAGUUUGCCAUGGGAUCAAAUGUAGACAUGACCAAUGCCUUCUAGAAAGAAACCUUUGGGGCAAAAAUCACCAUCUGAGUUGCACAAAUAAUAGUAAUAUUUUUGAUCAACAGUUCUCAAAUGUUUUGUUCUCAGGACUCCUUUAUACUCUAAAAAAUUGUUGAGAACCCCAAAGAGUUUUUGCUUAUAUAGGACAUAUCCAUUGAUACUUGCAAUAUUAGAAAUUAAAACCAAAAUUAAAUGUUAAUUUGAAAUAAUAGCAAUACUCAUAAUAUACCAACAUAAUGUUUUGUGAAAAUGUAUUUUCCAAAAUAAAAAUAAAUUAUGAGUGACAUUAUUUAAAAUAUUUGAAAAUCUCUUGACUGUCUGGCUUAGUAGAAGAUAGCUGGAUUCUCGUCUCUGCUUCUGCCUUCAAUCUAUGGUAAUAUUACCUGUCAUGUGGCCUCUAGAAAACUCCACAGUAUACUCAAGAGAAUGGGAUUUUCAUUAAAAUAGUUGUGAUCUGUGGACCCCCUGAAAGGGCUUGGAGAACCCCAGGAGUCCCUGGACUAUAAUUUGAGAACCUCUGUUCUAAAUGUUUACACUUUUAAAAUAAUAAAGCUAUUCAAUUCAUAACAGUUUCUUCUUUGCCUAGAAUAUCAGAACCUUCAGGGCGAAGGUCAUCCAUCAGCUCAGGUGGGGAAUGACAGCCUGUCCAUCACCUGUCACGCUGCUCAGCUGCUGCCUGAUUGCUACUGGGCUUUUCCUUCCUUUUUAGUGUUAAUGGUUUUUGGCCGUACUUCUUCUGCGUUUUCAUUAGAAGAUGCUGCCAGUCCUUUCUGGAAAGAGGUUAAGUGUUUAAAAGUAUAGGAAUAUCUGUCUAUCCAUCUAUCUAUCUAUCUACACACACAUAAAAAGCAACACAUACAAGUUUGAAAGUACACUUUCAUUUCAUUUUCAGUAUCUAUCUAGCUAACGCACCUCAACAGGAUGAAAAUAUAUAAUAUAGUCACUUGAAAGGUUAAGAAAAUCCUCAGGUUGUCUGAAUGGGCCUUCUUCACAGAGCCCAGAGAAUGGGGUUCAAGUGCAGGGCCUGCUCUCUAAACAGCUACAGCUCCAUGACAGGCAAUUUAUCACUCAAGAAAUGAGGCAAAUCAUCAAGGUCUCAGAGUGUCUGAACUGUUCCUCAGAACUCCCACCCGGACCAUCCACUUUUUCUCUGUCAAUAACUAAUUUGACUGAAGCCUAUGAGAGUCGCACUUUUUCAGUGCCAGCCCACUGCAUGUCAUUUUUCUGUCUGGGAGAACUGCCCUUCAGUCAUCCAGGCGGGUGAGCGCCCCGCCUUGCCUGUCUCAGGGCACCCUGUUUGGGGCCACCCUUGACCGGAUCAGGUUGUGCACCUGACCCAGGCUGAGCCAACCGCAUUCUCUCUCGUGGGAAUGUGGCCUCGGAUUGAGCACAGCCAGCUACCCGGGACCGACCUCUUCAGUAGGGAGGGUGUAAACCCGGCAGUUGUGAGGGAUCCUCUUCCACUCAGCUGCCCAGAGAGAAGAAGGAAGGAGAGUUGAUUGCAGAGAGACGUGGAGCAGAGGCGAAGGCUGGAGAAGGCCUGCUUCCUGGCUUCCUCGUAGCCAUCUGUCCUUGGGCUUCAUGAGAUACUGCCUCACCACAUAUUUCCCUUAAUAAUUAAGCCAGCUCAAGUUGAUUCCUUGCAACCAAAAGCUCUCAACUAAAGCAAAGGCAAAGCCAGAAGCAUUGGUGAGUUUUUCGCUACAGCCGGGUCCUGUAAAAGAUCCUGGAGAGGAUUGAUUGUAGGUCCUAAAUACGCAUCAUCGACUCACUGAAGGCUUCCAUCCGGCCAAAACACGUUUCCAUCCAAGGCCAACUAGAUUAGGAAAUGGCGUUUCCUCCUGCUUUCCAUCCCUGGAGGGCAAAUGUACAGAUGACUGGAGUUAGCAAUUGACUCUGUGGGUUAGUAUUUGCUGAGGGCACACGCCCAGGGACUUGAAUGACAGCAAUCCCCAGGUGCCAGGGAGGAGGCUGGCAAUUACGCUUCCCAUCACUGGCCUAUUCACCACUCCUGCAAACCAGCAUUCCUCAGAGCACUGACCCUCAAUGACUGGCAGGGCGACCGACUUUUAAAAGUGCCCAUUUUUAGCAGCUGGAAAUAAUAAACAGAGGGAAGUGAAGAUGCUGGAGGACUGAUUUCUCUUCCACUGUUUUCAAAAGUCAAAAGAUGCUAUAGACUAGUGGACUGGCAAGGAUGCCACGGAAAGCUGGUGCAACUCCUGCCGCAGAGCAGCUGUGUGAUGAUGGGUUAGUCCAUACACCUCCCUGGGCCUCAGUUUUUACAGCUGCAGAAUGACGAGUUCAUCUUCUUGUGACAGAGCCGGCGGCAGCCUGUGCGUGCGGAAGGCCCACAGUCACACCCGAUCUAAACGCCCUGGAUGUGGCAAGAUCUACUGAGUUUGAAGACGGGAAAGGGAGAAAUAAGACUACGUGGCCAUCGUUUCUGGCAGCAGAAAUACUACACUUUCCUUCCCUGGGACUCUGCCAUCAUCUCCGCACCUCCUUCCCCCUG